GACAGAGGGUGCGAACGUUGUUCGGAAUUACUGGGCGUAAGGGGCGCGUAGGCGGCCUUCUAAGUCGAACGUGAAAUCCCCGGGCUCAACCCGGGAACUGCGUCCGAUACUGGAAGGCUUGAAUCCGGGAGAGGGAUGCGGAAUUCCAGGUGUAGCGGUGAAAUGCGUAGAUAUCUGGAGGAACACCGGUGGCGAAGGCGGCAUCCUGGACCGGUAUUGACGCUGAGGCGCGAAAGCCAGGGGAGCAAACGGG
rnacentral:rRNA from 1 species